rnacentral:tRNA from 1 species
UUUUGUGUAGUUCAGUGACAGAGCAAGUAUUUAGCAUGCACAGGGCCCUGGGUUCAAUCCCCGGCACCAAAA